UACGUAGGGUGCAAGCGUUAAUCGGAAUUACUGGGCGUAAAGCGUGCGCAGGCGGUUUUGUAAGUCUGACGUGAAAUCCCCGGGCUCAACCUGGGAAUUGCGUUGGAGACUGCAAGGCUAGAAGGUGGCAGAGGGGGGUAGAAUUCCACGUGUAGCAGUGAAAUGCGUAGAGAUGUGGAGGAACACCGAUGGCGAAGGCAGCCCCCUGGGUCAAGAUUGACGCUCAUGCACGAAAGCGUGGGGAGCAAACAGG
rnacentral:rRNA from 1 species